GACCACUCCGGUGGCCUAGUGAUUACUGAGUCCGCUUUGGAUGCGGGAAGUCACGGGUUCAAAUCCCGGCCGAGUCA